GAGUUUUACAUAUUUUUCAUCGAGUCGAGUUCGAACUUGGGAUAUCAAGACUCGAUCGAUUUCGAGUUGAAUUUCGAGUUUGAAUAUUUUGAAUCUAGUCAAAUUUGAGCUUCCAACUAUUUGACUCGGUUUGCAUUGAUUACAUUAUACUGAUAAGGAUGGAGGAUUAUAUUAUUAAAAAAAUUAUAUCUUCUUCCUUAUUCUGUAU
rnacentral:lncRNA from 1 species